rnacentral:rRNA from 1 species
GCUGGCGGCGCGCAUAACACAUGCAAGUCGAGCGAGGGCUUAUUUCUCGCAAGAGAGAUAAGUUCCUAGCGGCGAACGGGUGAGUAACACGUGGGCAACCUUUCCUAUCGCGGGGGAUAACACCGGGAAACCGAUGCUAAUACCGCAUGUCGUCACCGGUCGCAUGGCCGGUGAAGAAAGCAGCAAUGCACGAUGGGGUGGGCCCGCGGCCUAUCAGCUAGUCGGUGGGGUAACGGCCUACCGAGGCGAUGACGGGUAGCUGGUCUGAGAGGACGGCCAGCCACACGGGGACUGAGACACGGCCCCGACUCCUACGGGAGGCAGCAGUGAGGAAUCUUCCGCAAUGGGCGAAAGCCUGACGGAGCGACGCCGCGUGUGGGAUGAAGUCUUUCGGGAUGUAAACCACUGUCGGAGGGGAAGACAUCGACGGUACCCUCCAAGAAAGCCCCGGCUAACUACGUGCCAGCAGCCGCGGUAAUACGUAGGGGGCAAGCGUUAUCCAGAUUUACUGGGCGUAAAGCGCGUGUAGGCGGCUGGUUAGGUGUGAUGUGAAAUCUUCCGGCUCAACCGGAAAACUGCAUUGCAAACCGGCCUGGC